GACGAGCCUCACAAACGUUAUUCGGAAUUACUGGGCUUAAAGGGUGCGUAGGCGGCGCGGAAAGUUGGGUGUGAAAUCUCGGAGCUUAACUCCGAAACUGCAUUCGAUACUGCCGUGCUUGAGGACUGGAGAGGAGACUGGAAUUCAUGGUGUAGCAGUGAAAUGCGUAGAGAUCAUGAGGAAGACCAGUGGCGAAGGCGGGUCUCUGGACAGUUCCUGACACUGAGGCACGAAGGCCAGGGGAGCAAACGGG
rnacentral:rRNA from 1 species